rnacentral:rRNA from 1 species
AACGUAGGACACAAGCGUUAUCCGGAGUUACUGGGCGUAAAGGGCGUGUAGGCGGAUCGGUAAGUCUACUCUGAAAGCUCCUGGCUAAACUGGGAGAGGCGAGUGGAGACUGUCGGUCUAGAGUGAGGAAGAGGAAAGUGGAAUUCCGCAUGUAGCAGUGAAAUGCGUAGAUAUGCGGAGGAACACCAAUGGCGAAGGCAAUCUCCUGGACCUGCACUGACGCUCAUGCACGAAAGCGUGGGGAGCAAACAGG